CGGCGGACGGGUGAGUAAUGCAUAGGAAUCUGCCCGAUAGUGGGGGAUAACCUGGGGAAACCCAGGCUAAUACCGCAUACGUCCUACGGGAGAAAGGGGGCUUCGGCUCCCGCUAUUGGAUGAGCCUAUGUCGGAUUAGCUAGUUGGUGAGGUAACGGCUCACCAAGGCCACGAUCCGUAGCUGGUCUGAGAGGAUGAUCAGCCACAUCGGGACUGAGACACGGCCCGAACUCCUACGGGAGGCAGCAGUGGGGAAUAUUGGACAAUGGGGGCAACCCUGAUCCAGCCAUGCCGCGUGUGUGAAGAAGGCCCUCGGGUUGUAAAGCACUUUCAGCGAGGAAGAACGCCUAGCGGUUAAUACCCGCUAGGAAAGACAUCACUCGCAGAAGAAGCACCGGCUAACUCCGUGCCAGCAGCCGCGGUAAUACGGAGGGUGCAAGCGUUAAUCGGAAUUACUGGGCGUAAAGCGCGCGUAGGUGGCUUGAUAAGCCGGUUGUGAAAGCCCCGGGCUCAACCUGGGAACGGCAUCCGGAACUGUCAAGCUAGAGUGCAGGAGAGGAAGGUAGAAUUCCCGGUGUAGCGGUGAAAU
rnacentral:rRNA from 1 species